UACGUAGGGUGCGAGCGUUAUCCGGAAUCAUUGGGCGUAAAGAGCUCGUAGGCGGUUCAGCAAGUCGGCUGUGAAAGGCCGAGGCUCAAACUCGGAAUUGCAGUCGAUACUGCUGUGACUCGAGUCCGGUAGAGGAGAACGGAAUUCCCGGUGUAGCGGUGAAAUGCGCAGAUAUCGGGAGGAACAACAGUAGCGAAGGCGGUUCUCUGGGCCGGCACUGACGCUGAGGCGCGAAAGCGUGGGGAGCGAACAGG
rnacentral:rRNA from 1 species